rnacentral:rRNA from 1 species
AUUGAACGCUGGCGGCAUGCCUUACACAUGCAAGUCGAACGGCAGCACGGGUGCUUGCACCUGGUGGCGAGUGGCGAACGGGUGAGUAAUAUAUCGGAACGUACCUUAUUGUGGGGGAUAACGCAGCGAAAGCUGUGCUAAUACCGCAUAAUCCCUAAGGGGGAAAGCGGGGGACCGUAAGGCCUCGCGCAAUUAGAGCGGCCGAUACCUGAUUAGCUAGUUGGUGAGGUAAAGACUCACCAAGGCAACGAUCAGUAGCUGGUCUGAGAGGACGAUCAGCCACACUGGGACGGGGACACGGCCCAGACUCCUACGGGAGGCAGCAGUGGGGAAUUUUGGACAAUGGGGGCAACCCUGAUCCAGCAAUGCCGCGUGAGUGAAGAAGGCCUUCGGGUUGUAAAGCUCUUUUGUCAGGGAAGAAACACCGGCUCUAACACAGUCUGGGAAUGACGGUACCUGAAGAAUAAGCACCGGCUAACUACGUGCCAGCCGCCGCCGUAA